rnacentral:rRNA from 1 species
UAAUACGUAGGGGGCGAGCGUUGUCCGGAUUUAUUGGGCGUAAAGAGCUCGUAGGCGGUUCAACAAGUCGGUAGUAAAAGUUCAGGGCUCAACCCUGAAAUGUCUAUCGAUACUGUUGUGACUAGGAUACGGCAGAGGUGAGUGGAAUUCCGAGUGUAGCGGUGAAAUGCGUAGAUAUUCGGAGGAGCACCAAUUGCGAAGGCAGCUCACUGGGCCGCUAUCGACGCUGAGGAGCGAAAGCUAGGGGAGCAAACAGGAUUAGAUACCCUGGUAGUCCUAGCUGUAAACGAUGGAUACUAGACGUAGGAACUGGAUUGACGGUUUCUGUGUCGUAGCUAACGCGUUAAGUAUCCCGCCUGGGGAGUACGGUCGCAAGACUA